AAGUUCCACAAUAAGAAUCAAGAGUUAUGGGGAAAUUAAAAACAAAAUUAAAAAAUAAAAAAGCAGAAAUAUGAAGGUAACCUCCAGUACUUGGAGGAAGCCAGUGCCACAGGGGAAGGGAAAUAAGCAGACUUCUAAUCCCUUGAACUCAGUUCUGCUCUAUAGGAGUCUUCUUGAAAGAUAAUUACUAACAUGAUUAAACUAAAUAUUUCUCAGUAGGUAUAUUACAGGGAGGAGCAGCCAUGAAGCAGGUUAAAUUGCCAGUUUAAAUCACUGGGCUUCAGAAAAGCAGAUUUCGCUGAUUCAGGGAGCUUUUUGGCAGGAUCUUAUGGGAAACAGCAGUGAAAGGCAAAAGAAACAAAGACAGACCACAGAGUUUCAAGGACAGACUCCUAAAGCACAAGAAUGGGCUAUUCCAACACAUGGGAAGUCACAAACAGAAAAAUCCUGUCUGAGCUCAAAUGCAAAAUGGAGGUACUUAUAGACUGAGAGUGGAGACAGGCUAUUCAAAAGGAGUAUCAAGACCUGACUUGAUUCUGCAGAGGUCAGGCUCCUGCUCGUUGAUGGCCAGUGCUGCACGCAAAAGUAACCAGGAUAUCCACAGAAGGCUGGAAGAUGCAACACAAGAUAUAUUGAAGGUGCAACACAGGAUUUGUUGGAGGCCUAUAUCCUUCUUGUACUGAAGAACAAGACAGGAGCAGAGCAAUGCUACCAAGCAGCUAACAGGAGUCAGCUCCUGUGGACAAGAACGCCAAUAAAUAGAUGGAUGGAUGGAUAGACGGAUGGAUAGAUAAAUAGAGAAAGAGACCUGCCUGUCUCCGGAGGACCCUGCCCUAGACGAACCAGUUGCUGCGGAGCCCGGUUGUUUCCAAGCCGUUUUUAGCACUUCCUUUUCAUGACUUGCAGAUUCACGGCUCGGUUUCUUUCCCUGGUGGCGGCUGCCCUCCGCCGGCGCAGAGAGGGUUUUGCAGCAGAGUAUCCCCCGCCUGCCCAGCCAGGGACGGGACAGCAGCUCCAGCCCCGCUGCCCCUACUCCAUUCUGGGCAAACCAGGCAGGGCAGGGCGGGACCCAGUUGCUGGUGGAUUUGAAAAUGCAUGUAAUUGAUGCCCAGAUUUGGCUGUGCCCAAGUCCCAUCACCUUCUUGUUGCUCUUGAGAAGAUAAUAUUUUUAUAUAUGACAGGGCCUAUAAACUACAGGUUGUUUUCCAUUAGCAUUCUACUCCAUUGAUGGAAUCUCAUCAUUUUAAUUAAAUAUAUACGUGUAUAUAUAUAUUUCUCCAGAACUAUGAGUCCAGAAGUCAAAGAAUCUUGACAUAAGAGGAGUGCUGCACCUGUCCAAGUAUAAAUUCUUCGGAAAGUAAAUUAACUGUAAUGGAACUUUAUCAGUAACUGCUAAAUGCACUGCUUUCAUAUUUGUUUGCUUUAUAAUAAUUCAUUUUUCAUGUGAGUGUGAGUGUAUGUGCAUUAUCUUCAAUUUGUGUUCAGUUUUUCAUUGCAUAUUGUGUCCACUCUGUUCCUAAAUGUGAUAUUGAUGUGAAUAUAUGCCUGUUGCCUAAAUGACAAACAAAUCCUGUCUGGAUUUCUCCCCAUAGGAUGGAUAAAUUCUGUUCUGGAAGGCCCAUAGAUAAUCUGAAAGAAAGACUAUCUACAUGUCAUCAGUCAGCAGUACAGAGAAUGUCAGAACAUCCUCAAAAAGAAAGACGGCUUUGCACAGUUCAGUUUUCUCAAGAUACAACAUGUAUGAAAUAAAACAGUGAAGAUACCAUGGUUUAUCCUGACAUACUCAGAGCCCACAUCUCACUACUUUGUGUCAAAAUGUGCCAUAAAGUUCACAAGUCACUCUGUGUUUCUGGGGAUGGUUUAGUUGUGUCAGUGACCUGGUCUGCAGUUGCUGCUGGAACUGUAAUGUGAGAUGUGGAGACCUGUAGCUGAGGACAGAGAAGUAGGACUUAAACAGAGGGCAUAAAAAGACUUUGUCUUUCCAGUUACCUUCCCAACACACGAGAUCUCUGCUGCUUCUGCAAAGCAUAAACCAAAUUUCUUUUGAUC
rnacentral:lncRNA from 1 species